UAUGUAUUGUAUAAUUAAGUCUAACAAAAAUGCAGAUUAGAAAACCCGUUUCCCUCCUCCUUCGCUUCUUCCCUGCAUUUUCCCUUUCCUUUCAAUCAACCCUUAUGAACCCUAAUCACCGAUUCAAAUCGUUAACGCAAGCCUACUUUUACAUUGUGAUCCUUAAUUGCAGUUGGAUUCAGUCAAAUAGUAACCCUAAUUUUGAAAUCCCAAAUCAAAUAUAUAAACCCUAAUUUCGAAAUCCCAAUUCAAAAAUAUAAACCCUAAUUUUGAAGUUGAAAAUUACUGGUGUGACUCCAUAGUUUCUUCAUUCAGGAUAGAAUGGAAGAACUGCCAUUUUCUAUUUACUACCACCAUGGUGGUAGAUUCUUAGAUUUGGUGGGGAAUAUAUCUACUACGGUGGGGAAUUAAAACCAGACCACUUCUAUUGUCCCGAUAGAAUUCAAUACUCUGUCAUACUUAUGUUUGCUGAGGGGUUAGGAAAUGCUAUAGGUCAAGGUCGGAGGCGUUAGAAAUAUUAAGGGGAUCGGUGUUUGAACGUUAUGCAAUGUUAAGGUCAUACAAAGCGGAGCUUACGAGAGUUGACUGUUUUGGAAAAUUUGACUUCUUGAUUAAUGAGUCAGACGGUACAUUUGAAGGUUUUUGCAUUGGAUUUGGUGCUUUAAGGGAAGGGUUCAAGAAAGGAUGUAGGUUAAUGCUAGGGUUAGACGGGUGUUUUUUAAAAACAUAUUUGGGUUGAGCAUUAUUCAGUGCAGUUAUGAAAGACGGGAACAAUCAAAUGUAUCCUGUCUUUUAGGCCGUGGUUCAAAGCAAAAAUGAAAGGUUUUGGACUUGGUUUAUGCGGAUUGUGUUUGAGGAGCUUAAUGUUGUCGAUGGUUUAGGAUGGACAUUCAUUAGUGAUCAACAAAAGAUAUGUUUCUCCUGAUUAUGCAAGCACGGGAAUGCUUAAUGAAGGGAGUGAUGUUUAUAGUUUUGAAGUGCUCCUCAUGGACAUGAUUACAGGAAGUAGCCCAAUUGAACAUUCCAGACCAGUUGGAGAGGAACUUAGAUCAGCGAAAGAUAAAGAUCAUCCCUUGUCUGAUGCACCGGCGUCCAACAAAGUACCACGCCCGAUCAAACCGAUGAUAAUUGUUAUCGCGAGAUUAGUGGAUCCUCUUCAAAUUAUUUUGUAGCAUAAUUUUUAAAUUAGUACACUGAGAAAUCACUCCCAUUCAAUAUGCAUAUAUUAGUUUGUUUUCACACCUUGGAUACUAUACAUUUUGCUCAUACAUUACAGUUCUGUAAAUAUGAUUUCACAUAGUCAGAUAUAUGUGAUCUCUCAGCCUGCUUUACUCUUUGGUAAUAUUGAUUGCAUAAUGCUAUCUAAAAUUUUCCUGAUUCAA